rnacentral:tRNA from 1 species
GCCUCGCUAGCUCAAUCGGUAGAGCGUGAGACUCUUAAUACCAUGGUAUCUCAAGGUUGCGGGUUCGACCCCCGCGUGGGGCU